UGCAGUCGAGCGGUAGCACAGAGAGCUUGCUCUCGGGUGACGAGCGGCGGACGGGUGAGUAAUGUCUGGGAAACUGCCUGAUGGAGGGGGAUAACUACUGGAAACGGUAGCUAAUACCGCAUAACGUCGCAAGACCAAAGUGGGGGACCUUCGGGCCUCAUGCCAUCAGAUGUGCCCAGAUGGGAUUAGCUAGUAGGUGGGGUAAUGGCUCACCUAGGCGACGAUCCCUAGCUGGUCUGAGAGGAUGACCAGCCACACUGGAACUGAGACACGGUCCAGACUCCUACGGGAGGCAGCAGUGGGGAAUAUUGCACAAUGGGCGCAAGCCUGAUGCAGCCAUGCCGCGUGUAUGAAGAAGGCCUUCGGGUUGUAAAGUACUUUCAGCGAGGAGGAAGGCGUUAAGGUUAAUAACCUUAGCGAUUGACGUUACUCGCAGAAGAAGCACCGGCUAACUCCGUGCCAGCAGCCGCGGUAAUACGGAGGGUGCAAGCGUUAAUCGGAAUUACUGGGCGUAAAGCGCACGCAGGCGGUCUGUCAAGUCGGAUGUGAAAUCCCCGGGCUCAACCUGGGAACUGCAUUCGAAACUGGCAGGCUAGAGUCUUGUAGAGGGGGGUAGAAUUCCAGGUGUAGCGGUGAAAUGCGUAGAGAUCUGGAGGAAUACCGGUGGCGAAGGCGGCCCCCUGGACAAAGACUGACGCUCAGGUGCGAAAGCGUGGGGAGCAAACAGGAUUAGAUACCCUGGUAGUCCACGCCGUAAACGAUGUCGACUUGGAGGUUGUGCCCUUGAGGCGUGGCUUCCGGAGCUAACGCGUUAAGUCGACCGCCUGGGGAGUACGGCCGCAAGGUUAAAACUCAAAUGAAUUGACGGGGGCCCGCACAAGCGGUGGAGCAUGUGGUUUAAUUCGAUGCAACGCGAAGAACCUUACCUACUCUUGACAUCCAGAGAACUUAGCAGAGAUGCUUUGGUGCCUUCGGGAACUCUGAGACAGGUGCUGCAUGGCUGUCGUCAGCUCGUGUUGUGAAAUGUUGGGUUAAGUCCCGCAACGAGCGCAACCCUUAUCCUUUGUUGCCAGCGGUCCGGCCGGGAACUCAAAGGAGACUGCCAGUGAUAAACUGGAGGAAGGUGGGGAUGACGUCAAGUCAUCAUGGCCCUUACGAGUAGGGCUACACACGUGCUACAAUGGCAUAUACAAAGAGAAGCGACCUCGCGAGAGCAAGCGGACCUCAUAAAGUAUGUCGUAGUCCGGAUUGGAGUCUGCAACUCGACUCCAUGAAGUCGGAAUCGCUAGUAAUCGUAGAUCAGAAUGCUACGGUGAAUACGUUCCCGGGCCUUGUACACACCGCCCGUCACACCAUGGGAGUGGGUUGCAAAAGAAGUAGGUAGCUUAACCUUCGGGAGGGCGCUAC
rnacentral:rRNA from 1 species